rnacentral:sRNA from 1 species
AUUUACCCCUCGUACGCUGCGGUUCUGAGCGCGCCGCCCCUACCCACCUGACAGCUGCUCGCUACGUCUUGUUAACC